GGCCAAUUGGCGAAAUGGUAUCGCGUCAGAUUUCGGCGAUGAGUUGAAGUCCUCUGAAGAUUGCAGGUUCGAAUCCUGCAUUGGUCG